rnacentral:rRNA from 1 species
ACUCAGUGAAAUUGAAAUCGCUGUGAAGAUGCAGUGUACCCGCGGCUAGACGGAAAGACCCCGUGAACCUUUACUACAGCUUGGCACUGAACAUUGAACCUACAUGUGUAGGAUAGGUGGGAGGCUAUGAAGACGUGACGCCAGUUGCGUUGGAGCCGUCCUUGAAAUACCACCCUUGUAUGUUUGAUGUUCUAACUUAGACCCGUUAUCCGGGUUGAGGACAGUGCCUGGUGGGUAGUUUGACUGGGGCGGUCUCCUCCCAAAGAGUA